rnacentral:lncRNA from 1 species
UGAUAUCCACAUGAAGCUAUCUGAUUGGAGCAUCAAGAUCAUCGGUGUGCUAGCACCUUUCAGAUCUUGCUCCUCAUCCAUGGAUCUUGAUCUCUUCUUCCAAAUCUUGAAGAAGCAGAUCGCUGCACGAACUCUUUUGUGCAGAUCCGAUGGGAUCUUAACUAGAUCACCAUGCAGAGUUGAAGAACCAUUCUUCUUCUCUUUUUCUCUCUCUUUUUCUCUCUUAGAUUUGAUCUCUAUCAGAUCUGGGCAUGGACAUGAAGUGGAGAAGAAAAGAAGAGGCA